rnacentral:rRNA from 1 species
AUGAACGCUGGCGGCGUGCCUAAUACAUGCAAGUCGAGCGAACGGACGAGAAGCUUGCUUCUCUGAUGUUAGCGGCGGACGGGUGAGUAACACGUGGAUAACCUACCUAUAAGACUGGGAUAACUUCGGGAAACCGGAGCUAAUACCGGAUGAUAUUUUGAACCGCAUGGUUCAAAAGUGAAAGACGGUCUUGCUGUCACUUAUAGAUGGAUCCGCGCUGCAUUAGCUAGUUGGUAAGGUAACGGCUUACCAAGGCAACGAUGCAUAGCCGACCUGAGAGGGUGAUCGGCCACACUGGAACUGAGACACGGUCCAGACUCCUACGGGAGGCAGCAGUAGGGAAUCUUCCGCAAUGGGCGAAAGCCUGACGGAGCAACGCCGCGUGAGUGAUGAAGGUCUUCGGAUCGUAAAACUCUGUUAUUAGGGAAGAACAUAUGUGUAAGAAACUGUGCACAUCUUGACGGUACCUAAUCAGAAAGCCACGGCUAACUACG